UCAAUCCAAUUACCAAGGAUAGAGCAUCCUGGCUGUAGUGUCAACAUGGAUUCUAAUCAUCUCCUGUCCCUCUCCAACAGGGACACGCAGGAGUGCUCUCCUCCAUGAGGGGACCUUGGUAAGUGCUCCUGGUCCAGUUGUUCUCCUGGAAGUUGAGAACAGCCAGUCUAAGCAGCUGCUUAAUGAGAAUGGUGCUGCCAGAUCUCCUGUUUUGAUUGGAGUAGCUGUUGGGUUUCUGGUGUUCCUGUUGAUGCUGGUGGCUGCAGUGUACAGAAUGAAGAACCUAGCCCGGUCUGUCCCCAUGUCACGAGAUUGACCUGUAGACAUUGAAUACAAAUAAACCAGACAGAAACCUGGAAAA